GUUUAGAGGUCAGUUCUGUUAUG
rnacentral:siRNA from 1 species